AGUUGAAAGGGAAACAGGGAUUGAAGGACAGUGAUGUAGGUGGGAUAGAAGAUGCAUUGAGCACAGCAGGUCUUCCCUCCAGUCGUUUCAGUUCAAUAACUCACUGGAAAAUAGGAUAAAGUACUGGUCUGGACAAGGCAGGAGGAAAGAGAUACAGAGAGGUGAAAAAUAACCCAAAUGCUUUAUAGAAAAGUACAGAAGUGCACUGCAUUCACAAAGCAGAUCAGGAUUUUGUAAUUAUGAUAAAAAUUGGAAAGGUGCCACAUACUGGCCACUCCUUUGCUCAGUAGAACCACUGAUCAGCCCCAAAAAGUGUUCGGUCACUGCAGCAGGAAACUGAGGAAAUGGCAGAAUAAACACCAUAUUACAAACAUAACGAUGAUCUGUGGUAUUUUCUUCAAAAGCAAAGUGUUGCUGAAGAAAACAUUAACAAAAUGCAACAAGACAAGAUCAGACACAUCACUUAAAAUAGAGACGUAGAGGAUGCCUACCUUGCAUGCUAUAUACCAGUGUAUGGGCACAGGAUUGUUACGAGGCAAUACUGUCUGGACAAAGAAAAACACAUUCAACACUAUGACACCAAAUGGACUUAAUGAUGACUUCAGCUUAAAAUGGUUUCUAGGUUAAAACUGUUUGUAAUCUAUAUGUCCCUUUAUGACCAUCUAGUGUAUGUUCUUAAUAGGGAAUCAAUGAUGGUCAGUAACAGUGUUUUGUAUGUAAUGGGAUUUAAAUCAGAUUUCAUUGUAUACUUGAGAUUGGUCCCUGUAUCUAGAACCAUAUGAUAAGAAAAGUGAUUGGUUCCUAAAUAACUGGGUCCAACUCCCAGCUGUGUACCAACUCUGCCCUUGUUUAUAUAUGACUGAACUGAACCUGUAUACUUAAAUGCUCUGAAGAAGGCUUUGUGUCCUCCUUGACUAGAAAAUUUGAAAUGUGCCACCUUUUUUUACAUUUUUGGAACAUGCCUACUGGAUUUUGGGUUUAGCGCUGCACUGAGAAUCCCAUUGUUUAAGCGCAACCUCCUUCUCCAAUUCAAUAGCUGAAGCAUGUCCCUUCUUGAAAGACUGCUAAAGAAAAUGAGGAUAGCAACACGUGCCGUGAUGAGGAAUCCGAACAGGAACUUUGACCCGCAAGAAAAGCAAGCUUUGAUCAAGUUCACCAAAAAUUGAGUUGGGGUGGAUGCAUGAGGGAAAAUAAGUGCGGAAGCAUUCUGGUGGGGGUACCAGGGUACUUGAUGUAUCCAAGGAUUCAACCAAAAAAGACCCUAUGUCUCAUGCAAGAGAGCUGUUUUUUCCACAUGGUGAGUCAAAAAAAGGAAAAUGGGAAGACUUCAUUCACGAUGUUUAUGAAUUUAAGGAGUCAGAACUUGAUGAGAGCACUACUGUGGCUUAUUUGUUCACACUGCCAAAAUUUGGGAUUUUACAAUAUACCGAAGCACAACAUGUCACAUCGACAAAUUUGACACAGAAGUGGACAGCAAGAUGGACAGACAUGGUGACACUGUAGGAGAGCAGCAGAGACAGAGAUUGUUCUGAUCAGCACCUGACUGUAAAGUCUAAUUAGUUAACCUUACUUAAAAAAAAACGUGUAAACCAAUUGCCUUAAGUAAAGUGGAAUAGGUAUUGUAUGUUGUACUAACAAAUACUUAUUUAGUAUAGUACAAUUAAACUUGAGUUUAAGUAAUAAAAAACCUGUAUAGAGUACGUGAUAAUUUACUUUAGAUGUACUCUUGACUUAGUAUAGACUACUGUGUGUGUAUUCCAGCCAACACAUUUAUUUAAGUUGGGCUAACUAAUGUGACAUUUCCUGCAACUUAUAAUUUCUCAGUUGUACUUACUUGAAGAGCAAUCUGAUUUACUUGUUAAAACCAUGCAAACCUUAAAAAGUCCAAGUAAGUGUUACUUGUGUAAUUUAAGCGAUUCAAACAUCCAUUAUACAUGAAUGAAAAACAGGUUCCAUUCUCCUAAAAUCCCAUUUACAAUUACACAUAAUAAAUCAAGGUAGUGACACAGUUCAAAGUUCAAUUAUAUGCAUUUAUUAUUUUUUGCACAAACAAUACAGUACUUUACUAAACUCAAUUUACUAGUAAAAUCAACCUUUGAAACCUUCUGAAUCUAGUUAAAAUGGAACAAAACCAGUCAGGGAUGUGGCCAAUACCACAUAAAUGGUUCCAUUACAGCAGCAACUCCAGUGUUACCUCCAGCAUUACCUUGACAUUUGUAAUUUUAUUCUGUCUGUAUUUUAUCAGCUUUGCCUGUAAUUUUCCAGAUAAACCAUGUUUUCUCUGUAUAUAACUUCAUUUUGUUAAAAUUUGUAAGAAUAUCCCAACAGGCAGAGAGUUUAUUGAUGUUGUCUCUUUUCAAAGCAAAGUAAUUGUAUUGGGCAACUGGCUGUGUGGAAACUCAUUUAUGCCAGGAAAAAACAUUUAAAAAAUAAAAAUACUCAAUCAAAAUUGUGACUGAAGUAAAAAUGAGUCAAAUUUUUGAACUAAUAAUUCAAAUUUUGGCAUAAGCAUCUCAUGAUUUUGACUUAUGAGUAAUAUAAUUGUUAACUUUCCAUCCUUUUUUUUUCUUUUCCUGGAGGAAAUGGGCCUUUUAUGGAGCUACUUUUCAUUAGUGUUACUUAAUCUUCUUUCAGUGCUCUGACUUAACAUUUCGGUGAAUCCACAACAUUUUCAUGCCUGUGUUUCCCGUAUUUUAAGCCACUACAAGAACAUUUACACAUGACUUUCAUCUCAUCCGGAAGUCUAAUGUAAAGGAUAACACUGAACAAUCCAGUGUGUAUAUUUACCACCAUCUCCCAUGAGGUGUGGUGUAAGUGUGUCCGGUACAGAGAUGUUCGGUGGUGAAAGUGCUAGUAAGCUCAGUCAAAUCAGCACGUUAGAUAACUGAUGGAGAUACCAAUUGGUUUCAAGGAGGACAGAUUAAAAUGUAAGUUACUAUUAGUGAUAUUUACCAAUUGAAGAAAAUAUCCAGACUAAAAUGAUCAAUGUCAAGGUUUUGGUGUCAAUCCCACGAUAUCUGCUGCUGUAACAGAACCAGCGCACACACACAUGCCUUGGGAGCUAAAAUUCACAACCCUAAAAAAAUAAAUAUUCUUAAAAAUGUACAGCAUAAAAGCAAAUGUACAGCGUAAAAGCAAGGCCCAGGGAUUGACAAGACUUCAUUUCACACAAGGCUCAUUAGUUUCUGCAUCAGCCAGACAUUUCAAUGAAGUGCUUUGAUUUUCCAGCAUGUACUUUCACUUUUCUCUCCUCAAAUGACUGUGUGCAUCCCCAGCAUAGGAGUGUUGUGAACAAUGGUAGACUGUAGACUGCUAGACUGUCUUUUUUGACCUGUCUGCCGCAUAUAUAUAGUAUGUACAGCCAGUACCAAAAUUGUUGAUGGUACAAUAAGUAAUACUUGCCAGCUGAUCAGUUGGGCUUUAUAAAAAGAAAUAUUAUAAUUCUGGGGGGGAAAAUCCAACCCUGACCUUUAAUUUAACACAUAAUCCUGUAACAACAACUUUAAUUUUGUAAUAACAAUAACACGUAGCUUAUAGACCAAACUUGGUAAAGAACUAAUGGGCUGACAAGUGCAAAGUGGCUUCAUUUAGUAAGUGUAACAAUAUGAAAGAGUAAUGACUGGCAAUGGAUCUCACACUUUGUUUGAAUGAACAUAAACUGGCAGCCUCUUGACGUAACUUACUGAUGAACCAAUGGGCUAAUAAUUUGAAAGGUUUGCCUUAAUUUAGUUAACAUAACAACUGAAAGCAACUGAAUCCACUGUCAUAAACAAGUAUAUCUAAUGUUGAACGCCACUCUUGAGUAUUUACAUGAACAGGAGAUUUUUAAAGGUUUGCAGUUUUGGUGGGAUUUUGUUCCCUUGCAAACCAAGCAUCAUUCUUUGAAUGAAGGUGAAGGUGUUUUUCAUGGCUUUAGGGUAGUCCAGAUGUAAGGCAUAAAGCAGGCCAAACAAGACACAGAGUGCUUGAGAUAGGUUCUGGAGAUCCAUUACAAUACCUCCCUCAACAAUGAUGGCAGUAGACACUGGGUCAAGGUGGAGAUGAUUUGGAGAGAGAGGCACAUCUUGACACUUGUGCCCAGGCCUCAUCAUUGUCAGAAUCCUGUAUAAAAACCAAACAAAAACAACAUUACAACAGGGAAAUGUUGAUAGACAUGAUCAGUUGUCACUGUCAUCUGUCUUGCCUACACUGCUUUCCAGCCUUGUCCAUAAAGUUUUCACUUCACACACAUCUGCAUUUAGCAGUUUUAUCAACAUUAGGAGGCCUAACAUAUUUCUUGACCAGUUUACAGAUGUCCAGUAAAGAACAUGAAAGAAAUCAUUCACAUUUCAUUCAAUUUCCUUUGCUGUCCUCACUGGCUUGUACUAUAAUAGUGUAUGCGAGGGAGAGAGAUGUUCUACCGCUUGCGCAGAAUACACAACCGUGGCAUGGCAA